UCCCUGAUAGUUCAGUUGGUAAAGAGUCUGCCUGCAAUGCAGAAGACCCUGGUUCGAUUCCCAGGUUGGGAA
rnacentral:tRNA from 1 species